GAUGAACGCUGGCGGCGUGCCUAAUACAUGCAAGUCGAACGCUGGAGAUCUAGCUUGCUAGAUCGAAGGAGUGGCGAACGGGUGAGUAAUACAUAAGCAACCUACCCACGAAGACUGGGAUAAUCUCUGGAAACGGGGACUAAUACCGGAUAGGUAAUCGGAAGGCAUUUUCUGGUUAUUAAAGGUUAAAAACACUGGUGGAUGGGCUUAUGGCGCAUUAGUUAGUUGGUGAGGUAACGGCCCACCAAGACGAUGAUGCGUAGCCGGCCGGAGAGGGUGAACGGCCACAUUGGGACUGAGACACGGCCCAGACGCCUACGGGAGGCAGCAGUAGGGAAGUUUCGGCAAUGGGGGCAACCCUGACCGAGCAACGCCGCGUGAGUGAAGACGGCCUUCGGGUUGUAAAGCUCUGUUGUAAGGGAAGAACGGUAGAUAGAGAAUAUCUAAGUGACGGUACCUUACCAGAAAGCCACGGCUAACUACGUG
rnacentral:rRNA from 1 species